GUCAUUCUCGGUCUGAACGACGUACGGUGAAGGUGUGUGGCGAGCUGGGACUUCCGUUUGGAGGUUGGGGCUUCAACUUGCAUUACUCGCAGGACGAGGAUUCUCUCCUACAGGAAGCUGGUUCCUAAUAGGAUAUGAAGGAUGCUGGAAUCACAAGCUGGAGGGAAGGUGAAGGAUUCUUGGUGCCAAUUGGAUCGUUCAUUCCUGGAACCUAACAAGCUAAUAGGAUCGGAAAUUUCUGGAUCAUAAUAAGGUUUGGGCACUGUGACUUAGCAGUACAAGAGGAUUAGCGUGCCCCCUUCAUAUGAGUACUGGUCUCGUUCGCCAGAGGGAAACUGAAAGACUUCUGAUACUUUAACAGGAUGAGAUAUGACUGGAGCCCUACCAAGGUCUAAGAUGAAAACGUAUACCAGCAGGAAUUCAAAACAAGUGAGGAAGAUUAAUACACCUUUGCCAGUAGUACCUGAUCUUAUGAACGUCAUAUUCCUUCUGCCAGAUAGAAAUAUUUACCCAGAAUUGCAAGAAUUAAAGAAGUAUUUGUCCAUCAUUUCAAGAAUUAAUUACAGAACUCGUCGCAUACUCACAUCAAGAUGGAUCCACAUCAAGACUGAAUUCACACUCUUUUGGUCCAAAUUGACAUCCACCAAGAAAGACCCACUGUAGAGAAAAAAGGUCAUCUAAAAGACAGGGAUCUGAGAACCUUUUGUCUUGUACAAAUUUGGUGGUCCAUUCGAGAAGAACCAGAUUGCUUUCUGACACUGGCAUCUCUGUAGUCUAGUAAUGUGAACUCUCCCUUUACACACUUUAAACUGGUUGAUGUUCAUUUCUACAUUUCCCUCUUUUCAGAAAUUUUCAAAGCCACUUUUCAGCAUCUCUAUCAGGACUGACUUAAUGUAACUAGGUUUGAAAAAAAAAGUUGGUGCACAGAGCUAACACAUGACCUGAUUAAUCAUAUUUUUCACUUUAAAUUUUUGAAGUAAUCCGUAGCUUUGACUGUUAAUAAGAAUUUUAAGUUUUGAUAUUCAAGAUUAUGGCUUUAUAAAUGAUUAAAAAGUAUAUUUGCUACUCCAUCCCAUCCCACAAUCUGCUUAGUUGUUUUCCAGUAUAAGGUACUACGUAUAUAUAUUCUUUUUCAUAAUUUUGUAAAAUUUUUACCCCGGAAAUAUUCUGAGGACUAAAUGAGAUACUGUAAACUAUUUGGAAGUUGUAUGUCAUUCAGUAGUUGAAUAUUAUUAUAUCAUUUAUUUAAAACCAGUGACUGAAAGACACAAUACAGCAUUUGUGUUUCUUUGCUAAAUGAAGUAACUUAAGUCUUAACAUUUAGUAAUUAAAAAAAAACAUAAGGUUGCAUAUAAUGAGGAUUAAUAAAUACCAGUCAUAUUGAAAUCUAAGUAUUGUGUAGAGACAAAAGAGAGAGAAUUUACUUGCAACAUUUGAACCAAGUUUAUUUUUCUUCUCCUGUUACACUUCCAAAUAGUAUCUGUUAAAUUGUGACAACACUUAAAACAAUCGUCUAUAGAACGUUUUGCAAUCUGUUAGUCCUAUAUGUAACUGUUUUCAAAAUCUAAAAUUUAGUGUCAUUGUCAAGUUUAUUAGCAAUUUUCAUGAAAUAUUUUGUGUAUUUCUGCAACAGCCUAUCGACUAAUCCCUUCAAACUUCACAACUUUCUUGUAAGGGUAAAACUUUUAGCUAGGAAUAACAGCAGUAACCUCAUACUAUAAAUUUCAGUCAGUUGAUCCAAACUUCUUAGUGAUUGCUAUCAUUUAUCCCGUGCUGUGCUUUGCAACUCCAUAUCUGGUGUCAGGGUUUGAAAAGCAUCUCUCCAUCUUUCCUAUAAUUUGUCACACGCUUUAGGAGACUUCUUGCAUAUGAUGUAUUUCAAAAGAGACAUUUCAUUGAUUCCACGUAUUUCCUUGCGCCAUUAUCUUUUUUCUCCGAUUCACUUCUUUGGAGAGAGAGUUUUUUUUUAUUGUAAAUCCUUUUGUCAUUCACAGCUGACUAGCAACUGUUUCAACUCGGUGUCUGUACAUACUGUUAGAAAUUCAGAGGAUGAGCGCUGUUCAUAUGGAACAAGCACAGGGGCCAUCGACUUGAAAUUCAAGCUUCAAAAGAAUGUUAUGGUGUUCAUUAGGAAGAUUAAGAGGAGGUAAAAAGAAAUACAGAGAGAGAUCAUCCUGCUUAUUAAGGAAGAAAAAAUAGUUAAUUGAUACAAAUUUAUCAAAAUGCAACUAGAAUUAGUUUCAUGGUAGUAAUGCAUUGCAUCUUCACUUUAACUUUAAGUUGGGGUCGGCUUCGUUAAAGGAAUAUUAAAGGGAAAUUGACUUAGAUAUGCAGUUUACUUAUACUUUUUAAAGUUUUCUACAUAAUUCAGUAUGCCUCAAUUUGCAAUUGUCCAGUAACUUGAAAAUUUUCUCUAGUGAUGCUGUCCUGUACCUAUUGAAUGUUUAGUAACGUUUAGGGUGGUGCCUUCAUCUACAAUAGAUGAAUAGUUUAGAAGUUUUCUACACUGUUCAGGGUCCCUUCAUUUGCAGUUGUCAAGCAACUUGAAACUUUUCUGUUGUGACUUGGUGGUGCUUUCUUUUACAAAUUAGUGCUUAGUAAUGAUUAAUAUGGUGCUUUUCAUUUUCCGUUGACAAAUAGUUUAGAAGUUUUCCCAUACUGUUUUAGUGCCUUGAUUUACAGCUAACCAGUUUUUUUUAUAAGUUUUCCCCUCACUGUUUAAGUGCCUUCAUUUGCAGUUGACAGUGUAGAAGUUUUCUCACACUGUUUUAGUGCCUUGAUUUACAGUUUACCUAUUUCAAAAGUUUUCUACACGGUUUAGGUGCCUUCAUUUACAGUUGCCUAAUUAUUUAGAGGUUUUCUACACUGUUUAGUUGCCUUCAUUUACAUUUGACAAAUUUUUGUAUAACUUUUCCACACUGUUUAGAUGCCUUCAUUUACAGUUGACGAACUAUUUACAUGUUUUCUAUACUGUUUAGGUGCCUUUAUUUGCAGUUGACAUAUUUUAGAAGUUUUCUACACUUUAGGUGCCUUCAUUUGCAGCUGACAUAUUGUAGAUGUUUUCUACACUGUUUAGGGUGCCUUGAAACUUCUCUAUAGUGAUUUAGUGGUACCAUCCUGUACCUAAUGAUUGUUUAGUAACGUUCAGGGUGGUCUUCAUUGGCAGUUGAUUAUGGCUAAUAAAUUUCAAACUUUCUACACUUCAGGAUCCUUUAAUUUGCAGCUGUUUCGUAGCAGGCUUCAGGGGUUUUAGUUCUGCCUCCAGUGGUAAAUUUUGUAAAUUUCUUGGAGCUUUUGAGGAGAUCCUGUACAGUUUAGGGAGGUGCUUGCAUUAAAAUUUUAUUAGCAACUUAAUAAGCAACUUACACUGAUAAGGGCGGAGUCCUCUCCAAAUGCGAAGUUUUAAUGUUAUACUUAUUUGGGUCCUGCUUCCAUUUCAUAACGGACCUAUUUUAUGGUGUUAAAGGUGGACAUUAACGACAGUCAAAUUACUAUUGCAAGUUAUUUGUUUCGUUAAUUUUUAGUCGCUGUCAGUAAGGCAUAAGACACGGCGCAUCUUGUGGCAUUUCCUGAAUAUUUUUAUUAAAGGUUUUAGCAAUUGAAUUUGUUUGGAAAUUAUCGAAAUUCCAAAGUUAUUUAUAAAAUACUAUACUCAAAGAUAACUUAUAUUGCAGGAUAUUUGUAUUAAAGGUUUUAUCAAUUGAAUUUUUGAAAAUUAUCAAAAGUCUAAAGUUAUUUAUAAUACUCUUAAUGAUAACGUGUAUUGUAGUCAGUUGUGUACUUGUGAUUAUGUUUUGCAGGAUUUUGGGCUUAAACCUGUUUUGGCUUAUCUUCGUCUCCAUAUUUUCAUUAAUCAGCUUCAUUCUAAUAAGAUCUCUCUCUCAACACAUUAACCGUGAAAACGUCAGUAGUCUACUGUAUUUAGUUUUUCUAUUUGUUUAUAUCUUCAUCAAGAAUUCAUUUUUUUCAAUUCUUAUAUGUAUUAACCUUCGAUAUUAUACAUUUUGCUUCUUAGGCUUUUGUUGAUAACUCAUGCUGUCUCACAAGGAACAAAACAACAGAAUUGUUUUGUCAAAGUCCUGUUUAAAGUAAUUCUAGUUUGCUUUAUAAUUAUUUUGAAUUACUUGACAUUUAUCACUAUAGUCUUGGAAUGACCAGUGAAUGAAUAUUGUCUCAUGAACAAGAAUUUUUAAUUUUUAAUCUGCUGGUUUUAAGAGUUCUGGAUCCUAUUACUGAAAGAGUAACACGGGAAGUUUUAAUUAAGAGCAAGAGCCCGUGCCCGCCCAAGGCUGGUUUAAUCUAUAAAUGAUAUAGCAUUACUUUUGGAAUAUUGCUUGGUUAUACUUCCAUGCGUUGGUAUUUUCACUCAGGUUCCAAGAUUAAAAAAACAUUUGCCCUUGAGAGCUUUUUUCAAUAAGUCGGCAAGAAGUGUUUUGAACGCUGGAGUUCAUACUUGGAAUAUGACUCAGAUUUUUCACUUAGUUGGAUGAUCAGUACCUGAAUUUUGUCGAAGUUUAUAAAGUGUUUUAGUCAACCAGAGUCAGUUUUUCUGAAAUUUAGUAGUAUUUUCCAACUAAAGUAUUUCCCUUUAGCUUGAGUUACAGGUUUUUAAGUGAACUAAACCCCUUUGUUUUAUAAGAGUUCAUAGUUUUAAAGUUAAAACUCCAUUAAUAUUUUGGAAGUUAUAGAAUUUCAUGUUAACCAAACUUCGCUGGUUUAUGCAGAAGUCUGUUGUUCUUUUAAGUCAACCAAAUCCAGUUGACUUUGCAGAAGUUUGUCUUUUAAUAAUUCAUCCAAAAUACUUGAUUUAGCAGGACAUUCAGAAUUUCAAGUAGACUAGACAUAAAUUUUUCAAAGUUUGUGAUCUUUGAAGUCAACCAAAACCAAUUCAAUUAACUUUCUGGUGAUAGAAGUUCACUCUCGACGUGGUUCGGAAGUCACGUAAAGCCGUUGGUCCCGUUGCUGAAUAACCACAGGUUCCAUGUAACGUAAAAACACGAUACAAACAAUUCAGUUAACUAGACUUUAUCUACAAAUUCAGCUCGACUAACGCAUACAACUUGCUGAAGUUUAUUUAGUAGUUAAAAUAAACCAAACACUUUAAUUUUGUUUGUUUGAAGUUCAUUCACUUUCAAACCUCCUUAGCCAUAAUUACUGCUCACAAAGUUUUUGUAGUUGGAAUAAAACCAAGCACUUUUAAUUUUGAUUGAAGUUUAUUCACUUUCAAAUCUCCUUGGUCAUAAUUACUCUUCACAAGAUUGAGAAGAAUGUCUAGACAUCCUCCAGUCGUGAUAUAAUACGAUUCGAAAACUCUAAUUUCAUGUGGUUCAAAUUGGCACGUAAUAUCCAAAUCUUAGGGCAGAUCCAUAAUACUUUAAACCAGCUGCUUUUUGGUAAAGAAUGGUUCGUAAACCUUUUGUUGUUGUUCUUUGAUCAUUCUAAGACUUUGGUGUGUGAUUUAUCCUGACAGAAUUCUGUGGUACCUAUUUGUCAUUCGAAGACUAAAGAUUGUAUAUGAUUUUUUGACAGAAUUGUCUGUGGUACCUAUUGGUCAUUGUAAAACUAAAGAUUGACUGGUCUGUAACUACUGGAUUUGACCUCAGAGUAUUUGUGUAUUUGAAGAAGAAAAAAAAGCCCCAGACAUUGUUCAGACUACUUACAAUGCUUAUCUCAGUAUGGUUAUGAAAUUCAUUGAAAAAACUCAAAAGGACAGAAAUUAUAAAUGAUAAAGUUUAUAUUUGUAACUUUUGAAAGUUGGGCCUCUGUAGUUCCUUCAGAUUUUUUUUUU